GUGAAAAAAACCACCAGAAACACACACGAGAACGGGCUCUCCUCUCCCUCGCCUCCCGAUCCCAACCGCCAGGCGCUCGAUCUGGUGCCGCGCCGGCCAUCCGGGCGCGGUGUCGAUGGAUCUGGCGGCGGGUGCGGCGUCUUGCUCCGGUGGCGACGGUGUCCUGCUGAUGCUAAGAGACCAGAGCAUGAGGGAGAUAGGAAGAAAUGAGGAUAAGGGGCACAAGGUGAGGGAGGCGGUCGCGCCGGCGGCGGCUCCGGUGACCGGCCGGAGGGCAGGGAGAGGAGCUCCUGUUGAGGCGGCGGGGCUUGGUGGAUGCUGGUUCCUCCGGAUCGACCCCCUACUCAGAUCUGCACGCCCCUGAUGAUUGGAGGUGUGCUUUUCACAUGUUCGUUGAGUUGCUUAAUGACAUAAAAAAUGAAAUCUGGAGUUAUGCAAUUACAGCAACAAGGACGGAUGGCCAUCUUCACAGGUUAUGCCCCUUACUGUAGUUUGCAUUCAGUCAUGUGCAGUAAUAAUGACAUAUUUGUUAGCCUGCUAGCUGUUUCCAGAUUUUUUUAGACAUGAUUGACUGCUUCUACACAAAAGGAGUUUAUCGAAAAUAAGAGCAAUCCCACUGUUGCUACAGAGCCUGAAGAUUCUUUGCCUUUCUUUGAACUGUUUCAGUUUUUUCUUUCAUAUGGCUACAAUUAUUUGAUUGGUCCAUGUAGAUUUAGGCAACAUGAGAUGAGCCGAUGAUAUAUAUUGUAAUGUAUGAUGUCUAUUGCUACAAGUGUUGAUGUCUUGGUGAUGGCAGGUUUUGCAAGUAAUUGAAAUGCUUUUUGAGUAGACGAUAAUUAGAUAAAGUUCUACCUGAUUUUGAGGUAUGUGAAAGUGAACUCGGUGAUUUCGAGUAAUUCUAAGAGUAUACAUCUCAUCUAUCAGGUAUCCUUUUUUGAGUAAUGCUAAGAGGAUACAUCUCAUCUAUCAGGAAUUAAUCCAUCUCGUUUUCUCUGUGUUUACCUUGUUCUACAAAUGGCUAACUAGGUAAUGAUUAUUGAUAGCUAAUGACAUGAGGGAGAGGGGGACAAGCCCCUUUAGCUACUGCAAUACGGUUGUGCAUACAAAUGUGCUACUCAUAUUCCACUGUUAGACGAGCUAGCCACGAGAAGCAGGUUCAGAAUUCAGCUCCAUUUGAUUUACAUUUAGAUCAUCUUGAUGCAACACCAUCACUUUUCUUGAUAGCAAACAACAAUUUUUAGUAAUCAUAUAUAGCUUUUCUUUGGUUUGUUUAUUCUAUUAUACCAUAGAUAUCAUGAGAAACUGUUAAUCACUUAAGGAGGGUGUUCUGUUCACUCAAAAUGAACUGCCUAAUGGUCUGAUUAGUUUAUGUACGUGAAAAUUUAUUUUAAUAAUUAUAGUUGCAAUUUCCAGACAAGGCAUAUGUUCUUUUAUACUUUUAUAGUGAGUUUACAAUAGGUUGAAUAGAUUCGAUUUCUAUUUCCUUUCCUCAUCGUCGUCCGCUUAGGUUGUAAGGGGAGCCAGAGAGGUGAGGGAGGUGACCAAAGCGGCAGCGGCCUUGGGGUGCCGAAGAAGAGUGCGCGGGAGGAUGGAAAGGGGCUCGUAUACGACGGCUGGAAGAGUGGUUGUGCAGAAGGAAGAUGUUGGUUGAAUGAGUCCCUUGGAGCCUAGCGGUGCUGCUCAGCCCUGUACAUGCCAUUGCCUGCCUCUGAGAGUAACUGGGAUCCUCACGCUACCAAUUUGGUCAUCCCUGGGAAACAUCAAGCAGAUCAUGAGACUGCAUCUUGAGAAGAAGCAUUAUUUACAACUCAGUAUUAUGUCAUGCAUGGAAGAAGCACUCGACCUUAUUACUAACUACUUCCUCUGUACACAAAUAUAUGACGUCUUAGACUGAACAUACAAGUCUCUAAAACGACUUAUAUUUAUGUACAGAGAGAGUAAUAACAUGUAAACAGGUGUGUUGUGUUCCUAUUCUGAUCGUGGAUUUCAAGCAUACUGCUAACAAAUGUUGGAGAGCGUGGCAAGUUUCAUCUAAUUCAAUACUGAAUUUCUGGCCUUCA